rnacentral:rRNA from 1 species
AUUGAACGCUGGCGGAAUGCUUUACACAUGCAAGUCGAGCGGCAGCGCGGGGGCAACCCUGGCGGCGAGCGGCGAACGGGUGAGUAACAUAUCGGAACGUACCCAGUCGUGGGGGAUAACUAUCCGAAAGGAUAGCUAAUACUGCAUACGUCCUGAGGGAGAAAGCGGGGGAUCGCAAGACCUCGCGCGAUUGGAGCGGCCGAUAUCGGAUUAGCUAGUUGGUGGGGUAAAGGCUCACCAAGGCGACGAUCCGUAGCGGGUCUGAGAGGACGACCCGCCACACUGGAACUGAGACACGGUCCAGACUCCUACGGGAGGCAGCAGUGGGGAAUUUUGGACAAUGGGGGCAACCCUGAUCCAGCCAUUCCGCGUGAGUGAAGAAGGCCUCGG